AUUGAACGCUGGCGGCAUGCUUUACACAUGCAAGUCGAACGGCAGCGCGGGCUUCGGCCUGGCGGCGAGUGGCGAACGGGUGAGUAAUGCAUCGGAACGUGCCCAGUAGUGGGGGAUAGCCCGGCGAAAGCCGGAUUAAUACCGCAUACGACCUGAGGGUGAAAGCGGGGGACCGAAAGGCCUCGCGCUAUUGGAGCGGCCGAUGUCGGAUUAGCUAGUUGGUGGGGUAAAGGCUUACCAAGGCGACGAUCCGUAGCUGGUCUGAGAGGACGACCAGCCACACUGGGACUGAGACACGGCCCAGACUCCCACGGGAGGCAGCAGUGGGGAAUUUUGGACGAUGGGGGCAACCCUGAUCCAGCCAUGCCGCGUGCGGGAAGAAGGCCUUCGGGUUGUAAACCGCUUUUGUUCGGGAAGAAAUCCUCUGGGCUAAUACCCCGGGGGGAUGACGGUACCGGAAGAAUAAGCACCGGCUAACUACGUG
rnacentral:rRNA from 1 species